rnacentral:rRNA from 1 species
AUUGAACGCUGGCGGCAGGCCUAACACAUGCAAGUCGAACGAGUGGCGGACGGGUGAGUAAUGUCUGGGACACUGCCUGAUGGAGGGGGAUAAAUACUGGAAACAGUAGCUAAUACCGCAUACCAUCUGAUGUGCCCAGUUGGGAUUAGCUAGUAGGGGGGGUAAAGGCUCACCUUGGCGACGAACGCUCGCUGGUCUGAGAGGAUGACCAGCCACACUGGAACUGAGACACGGUCCAGACUCCUACGGGAGGCAGCAGUGGGGAAUAGUGCACAAUGGACGAAAGCCUGAGGCAGCCAUGCCGCGUGUAUGAAGAAGGCCUUCGGGUUAUAAAGUACUUUCAGCGGGGAGGCGUUACCCGCAGAAGAAGCACCGGCUAACUCCGUGCCAGCAGCCGCGGUAAUUC